rnacentral:rRNA from 1 species
CACAGGUUGUGAACUCGAAGAGUAGGGCGGGACACGUGGUAUCCUGUCUGAAUAUGGGGGGACCAUCCUCCAAGGCUAAAUACUCCUGACUGACCGAUAGUGAACCAGUACCGUGAGGGAAAGGCGAAAAGAACCCCGGCGAGGGGAGUGAAAUAGAACCUGAAACCGUGUACGUACAAGCAGUGGGAGCACCCUAGUGGUGUGACUGCGUACCUUUUGUAUAAUGGGUCAGCGACUUAUAUUCUGUAGCAAGGUUAACCGUAUAGGGGAGCCGAAGGGAAACCGAGUCUUAACUGGGCGUUAAGUUGCAGGGUAUAGACCCGAAACCCGGUGAUCUAGCCAUGGGCAGGUUGAAGGUUGGGUAACACUAACUGGAGGACCGAACCGACUAAUGUUGAAAAAUUAGCGGAUGACUUGUGGCUGGGGGUGAAAGGCCAAUCAAACCGGGAGAUAGCUGGUUCUCCCCGAAAGCUAUUUAGGUAGCGCCUCGUGAACUCAUCUUCGGGGGUAGAGCACUGUUUCGGCUAGGGGGCCAUCCCGGCUUACCAACCCGAUGCAAACUACGAAUACCGAAGAAUGUUAUCACGGGAGACACACGGCGGGUGCUAACGUCCGUCGUGAAGAGGGAAACAACCCAGACCGCCAGCUAAGGUCCCAAAGUCAUGGUUAAGUGGGAAACGAUGUGGGAAGGCACAGACAGCCAGGAUGUUGGCUUAGAAGCAGCCAUCAUUUAAAGAAAGCGUAAUAGCUCACUGGUCGAGUCGGCCUGCGCGGAAGAUGUAACGGGGCUAAACCAUGCACCGAAGCUGCGGCAGCGACGCUUAUGCGUUGUUGGGUAGGGGAGCGUUCUGUAAGCCGUUGAAGGUGUGCUGUGAGGCAUGCUGGAGGUAUCAGAAGUGCGAAUGCUGACAUAAGUAACGAUAAAGCGGGUGAAAAGCCCGCUCGCCGGAAGACCAAGGGUUCCUGUCCAACGUUAAUCGGGGCAGGGUGAGUCGACCCCUAAGGCGAGGCCGAAAGGCGUAGUCGAUGGGAAACAGGUUAAUAUUCCUGUACUUGGUGUUACUGCGAAGGGGGGACGGAGAAGGCUAUGUUAGCCGGGCGACGGUUGUCCCGGUUUAAGCAUGUAGGCGGAGGUUCCAGGUAAAUCCGGUACCUUUUAACGCUGAGGUGUGAUGACGAGGCACUACGGUGCUGAAGUAACAAAUGCCCUGCUUCCAGGAAAAGCCUCUAAGCAUCAGGUAACAUCAAAUCGUACCCCAAACCGACACAGGUGGUCAGGUAGAGAAUACCAAGGCGCUUGAGAGAACUCGGGUGAAGGAACUAGGCAAAAUGGUGCCGUAACUUCGGGAGAAGGCACGCUGAUAUGUAGGUGAAGCCCCUGCGGGUGGAGCUGAAAUCAGUCGAAGAUACCAGCUGGCUGCAACUGUUUAUUAAAAACACAGCACUGUGCAAACACGAAAGUGGACGUAUACGGUGUGACGCCUGCCCGGUGCCGGAAGGUUAAUUGAUGGGGUUAGCGG